AUUGAACGCUGGCGGCAGGCCUAACACAUGCAAGUCGAACGAGUGGCGGACGGGUGAGCAAUGUCUGGGAAACUGCCCGAAGGAGGGGGAUAACUACUGGAAACGGUAGCUAAUACCGCAUACCAUCGGAUGUGCCCAGAUGGGAUUAGCUAGUAGUGGGGGUAAUGGCUCACCUAGGCGACGAUCCCUAGCUGGUCUGAGAGGAUGACCAGCCACACUGGAACUUAGACACGGUCCAGACUCCUACGGGAGGCAGCAGUGGGGAAUAUUUCGCAAUGGGCGCAAGCCUGAUGCAGCCAUGCCGCGUGUAUGAAGAAGGCCUUCGGUUUGUAAAGUACUUUCCGCGAGGAGGCGUUACUCGCCGAAGAAGCACCGGCUAACUCCGUGCCAGCAGCCGCGGUAAUAC
rnacentral:rRNA from 1 species